AACAUAAGUUGGAGAGCAUGCUGAAUCCCGCAGCUUCUGCACCAUAUGUUUCCUGGCCGAGUGGUUGAAAGUUGCGACCACACAUUCCAUGGGUGAUGAUAUCUACCAAAAUUCUUGGCGGCACAGUUCUACCCUCGUCAGUUGCACUUGUCCGAGUCUUUCUCUGCCUCUCAACCAACUCGAGAUAUCCCCCCCCCCAACUGCAUCCCGGCACAGCUUCACAUCAACCCAUCUAAUUAAUUUGUGGGAAAGGUUGACCACACAAAUUUCCUGUUUGGUUGUGGAGAUAGAAUCAUUUUUUUUGUGAAAGUUUGAUUUCAGACACUUAAAAAUUGAAAUUGUCAUGUAUUAUUAAGCAU